UACGGGGGGGGCAAGCGUUGUUCGGAGUUACUGGGCGUAAAGGGCUCGUAGGUGGCCAACUAAGUCAUACGUGAAAUCCCCGGGCUCAACCUGGGAACUGCAUUUGUGACUGCAAGGCUGGAGUACGGCAGAGGAGACUGGAAUUCCUGGUGUAGCAGUGAAAUGCGUAGAUAUCAGGAGGAACACCGAUGGCGAAGGCAGGUCUCUGGGCUGACACUGACGCUCAUGCACGAAAGCGUGGGGAGCAAACAGG
rnacentral:rRNA from 1 species